UACGAAGGGGGCUAGCGUUGCUCGGAAUCACUGGGCGUAAAGCGCACGUAGGCGGACUCUUAAGUCGGUGGUGAAAUCCUGGAGCUCAACUCCGGAAUUGCCUUUAAAACUGCAUCGCUAGAAUUGUGGAGAGGUAAGUGGAAUUCCGAGUGUAGAGGUGAAAUUCGUAGAUAUUCGGAAGAACACCAGUGGCGAAGGCGACUUACUGGACACAUAUUGACGCUGAGGUGCGAAAGCGUGGGGAGCAAACAGG
rnacentral:rRNA from 1 species